GCCUUCAGUUUCCAAUGUCAGAUUUUCUCAGCAUGAUUAUUCUUUUACAUUUUAAAAUUCAUAUUAAUAUAAAUCAAUGUUUUCAAAGAAUAUACAGCAUCAGUUCUGAUGAUUAGGACGCAUAUUAUUAACUCGGAAUUCCUUUGAAGGAUUAUAUUAAGUAUACUAUAUUUAGGACUACUGUAAAACUAUAUGUUUAAUCAUGUACAUAUUUUCCCUUUAAAGUAACAUUCACAGUUUGUAGUGAGUAAAUAUAAAAAUAAGACAACUUUUUAGGCUCUGGCGCAUAGGUUUUUCUUUAAAAAACACAUUCUAUAUUCCAUUAGCUAGGUAUUUUGUUUUUAAUCACAGUUGGAAUAUUUCUUCCAAUAUUUUCAACUUAAUGGACACACGUCUUUUGUUGGGAAAGUGUCUGUAAAUGAAUCCAAAAUACAAUCACAUUAUUUAUUAAAAAAAUAGAAAGCAAUAUGUAAUAUAAUGCUUUCAUUAUGCAAAACAUGUAUCAUUUGUAAGUGAUUUGAAAACAAAACAAAAAUGCUGAUAGUGUUAUUUAAGCAGAUCGUCAUAAAAAACAUUGCAAGGCAUGACAUACGGUUAAAGUUGUCAAACUUGUAGGUCAGAAAUAAACUAUUAGUUGUCACAUGGGAAAUACUUCGGCACAAUUAAGACACUGCAUUAGAAGGGAAUAUUCCCUGAACAUUAUUAUACCCAAUAUGUCAAUGGUAGAAAUGUGAUAAAAAAUGAAACUAUUUGUUAGAAUGCAAUUUAGAGAACCCGAUAGGUUGUCCAUUUUAUUCAGUUUAUAAUUAAGAUAGUGUUUAAAUCUGAAAUGAAUUCUAUAUAUGCAUGUUCAACAGACUAUAGCACAACAAUAAGAAUGGAAUCACAUCUCAUUUUACCGUAAAUUGUGUAAUAAGCGAUAAGGUAAAAACUAGGACUAAAAUCCUUCCAGCAAAAAUGAAACUGAGCGACCUCAAUUGCCCUAAUUCAUUCUGCUUUUUUCCUUUUUUUUUUUUUUUUUUUUUAGUAGAGAUGGGGUUUCGCCAUGUUGGCCAGGCUGGUCUCGAACUCUUGACCUCAUGAUCUGCCCGCCUCGCCCUCCCAAAGUGCUGGAACUACAGGCAUGAACCAUCCCGCCUAGCCCAUUCCUAGGAUUUUAAAUCAAAUAUGCAUCCUUUGUCCUUGAUAUAAUUUGGAUCUGUGUCCCCAUCCAAAUCUUAUGUUAAGCUAUAAUCCCCAGUAUUGGAGGUGGGGUCUGCUGGGAGGUGAUUGGAUCAUGGGGAUGGAUUUCUCAUGAGUGGUUUAGCGCUGUCCUUGUGGUGCUGUCCUCGACAGUGAGUGACUUUGCACGAGAUCUGACUGUUGAAAAGUACAUGUCCCUCCCUUUCUCCACUUGAUGUGCUG
rnacentral:lncRNA from 13 species